rnacentral:misc_RNA from 1 species
AGCAGCCGCGGUAAUUCCAGCUCCAAUAGCGUAUAUUAAAGUUGUUGCAGUUAAAAAGCUCGUAGUUGAAUUUCGGGAUCAAUAUGUUGGUCGUGCCUCGGUACGUACUAGCAUAUUGGUUUCUCCUUUCUGAAGAACCAUGAUGUCAUUUAUUUAGUGUCGUGGGGAAUCAGGACUGUUACUUUGAAAAAAUUAGAGUGUUUAAAGCAGGCUCACGCUUGAAUACAUUAGCAUGGAAUAAUGAAAUAGGACGUUUGAUUCUAUUUUGUUGGUUUCUAGGAUCGACGUAAUGAUUAAUAGGGAUAGUUGGGGGCAUUAGUAUUCAAUUGUCAGAGGUGAAAUUCUUGGAUUUAUUGAAGACUAACUACUGCGAAAGCAUUUGCCAAGGAUGUUUUCAUUAAUCAAGAACGAAAGUUAGGGGUAUCGAAGACGAUCAGGAUACCGUCGUAGUCUUAACCAUAAACUAUGCCGACUAGGGAUCGGAUGAUGUU